rnacentral:lncRNA from 1 species
AAUAAUCAAAGAAAUGAAAUGAAUGAGCAUUAAACAACGUAUGAGUGUAAGUGAAAGGGAACCGGCUCAUUGUAAGAAAGCCCAAGAGUAAGCUAUGUGAGGUUGAUGGCGAUGCUUAAAAAGCAAUCGACUUACAAGGGUGUAAAAAAUGGGCUCGAUAUUAAAUCGAGAAAGUGUGAUUUUUAUAGUUUGAAAAAAAUGGUUUUUGAACUAAUUCAAAUACAAUAACUACGCAUUAUUAACACAUGAAAUUAUAAUAAGCAUAAAAAGAGAUAUUAACAAAAUACUAAAAGAAUAAAAAAAUGCUAAAGGAAAAUAAAAUCAAAUAAAAAGCAAAAGGUGUCACACACGAGUA